AUUGAACGCUGGCGGAAUGCUUUACACAUGCAAGUCGAACGGCAGCACGGGGGCAGCCCUGGUGGCGAGUGGCGAGCGGGUGAGUAAUACAUCGGAACGUGCCCGGUCGUGGGGGAUAACGUAGCGAAAGUUACGCUAAUACCGCAUACGAUCUGAGGAUGAAAGCGGGGGACCUUCGGGCCUCGCGCGAUCGGAGCGGCCGAUGUCAGAUUAGGUAGUUGGUGGGGUAAAGGCCUACCAAGCCGACGAUCUGUAGCUGGUCUGAGAGGACGACCAGCCACACUGGGACUGAGACACGGCCCAGACUCCUACGGGAGGCAGCAGUGGGGAAUUUUGGACAAUGGGCGCAAGCCUGAUCCAGCCAUUCCGCGUGCAGGACGAAGGCCUUCGGGUUGUAAACUGCUUUUGUACGGAACGAAAAGGCUCUGGCUAAUACCUGGGGCUCAUGACGGUACCGGAAGAAUAAGCACCGGCUAACUACGUG
rnacentral:rRNA from 1 species